rnacentral:rRNA from 1 species
CAGCCGCCGCGGUAAAACGGAGGGGGCUAGCGUUGUUCGGAAUUACUGGGCGUAAAGCGCACGUAGGCGGCUUGGUAAGUUAGAGGUGAAAGCCUGGAGCUCAACUCCAGAAUUGCCUUUAAGACUGCCGAGCUAGCAGGUGAGAGAGGUAAGUGGAAUUCCGAGUGUAGAGGUGAAAUUCGUAGAUAUUCGGAAGAACACCAGUGGCGAAGGCGGCUUACUGGCUCAUACUGGACGCUGAGGUGCGAAAGCGUGGGGAGCAAACAGGAUUAGAUACCCCUGUAGUCCCUGUCUCUUAUAU